GGAGGUGGUGAUUUAGCCACCAAGAAGUAAAACCUAGAAUCUCUGUAAAUAUGGACAUUCACCUAAAAUAGAAUAUUUUAUAACACAAAUAAAUAUAUAAUAAGAAGAAUAAGAAUUUACCUCAACCCCACAUCUUGAAACCAACUCUUCUCAAUACCCUUUUGAUGGAUUGAACAAUGAACAUAAAUUGAAGUAAUUCACCAACUCAAGAAUCAUGAUAAAUUGAGUGACCCCAAAAAAAGUGGAAUUAUUAACUCAAAAUAAUGAGAAAUAAAUAUUUAAUAAUAAUUAUGAAGCAAGUAGACCAUUGAAUUAAAGAAGCUUCAGAUCCUAAUGAAACUGAAAAAAAAAGAUUGGAGAUUUACAUCUGAUGGGGCCACCACACAAGAAAUUCUUUUUUCUCUUUCUUGGUUCUAAUUCUCAGAAAAAGAGCAAAAAGAAAGCUCUAUUUUUUAGAGAGAGAAGAACAAGAAGUAGAGAGAGAAAGAAACAGAAAUUGUAUAACACUUGAAA
rnacentral:lncRNA from 1 species